AUGGAGAGCAAGUGAGAGAGAUUGAGUGGAGAGAGAGGCUGGGCUGCGUGAUCGGCGAGGAGAUGGAGAACCAGAGAUGCAGGCCGACUGAGACAGAGAGCUCGAGUUGCAGAGAGUCAUGUUGCAGAAAUUAGAAGAAUAAAAAUGGAUUGUGUCCGGAUUGGAGACCUUAAUUGGCUCUCCAAUGUAGAGUUCGUGUAACUAGAAUCCAAGAGAAUAUUCAAGUCAAGAGUCCAAUGCAGCCAAUAUGUUCCUUUGGCUGCAGGUAUUCCGGUCCUAGUUGAGGGUGUUGUAGAUGUGCACUUGGGAUAUUAUGACCGAAGCUCGCCGCGACGGUCGUAAUUGCUGGACUACAGUUGCCCACUAUUUUAUAGGUUUUGUUUAUGACUGGUGACGCUUGGGUCACUUGUUAUUGUAUAAGCCAUUCAUGUUGUUUAAUUAUUAUGUUGAUAAGAUCUAAACAUAUAGAUGAUAAAUGGCUCUGUAUUGUAAAUAACUUGUAAUAGAUGUAUAAGCUAUGCUUUCCGCUAUUCAAGUUUAUGUUUCCGCUGCA